rnacentral:lncRNA from 1 species
UCUUGAUAUUCUAUUGCUUUGUGCUUUGAAGGGAAAAUUUCUCAAGAGGUGCAAUGAUAUGCUGUUGUGCCGACAUUUUAAUGAAAACCUGCAUUUUCUGUAGAAAGAGAGACCAAAUGAAAUGAUGUGAAGUUUAUACCAAAAAAAACUGCUGCUACUAGUGCAUGGAUUGUCGUAUUAUCAGAAGUCAAAAUUAGUUCCCUGUCUUAAUUUUUCAACAGCUGGAACUAUUAGUGUUGCCAUUAUUGUUAUCAUUGGAAGUUGGGAACCUGGCUUUUAGUUUGUGCACUAGCAUUAGGACCAGGUGUUGGGAACUUAACCUUAAUAAUGGCUGUCAUUGCUGUCCACAGUCCCAGAGAAUUUGAUAAUCUAGUCUGACUCAUUUGGGAAAAUAUAUUUUGCUUCUAUUCUGUUGCCAAACUAGCAUGAUGAUGUCAGAGAUCUAUUUCAUUACAAGGGAUGAUUUGUUUGUGAAACUUUAAGUACAAUUUUCUUGCAUGUUUGUAAGUAUAUCUAUGAGACUGAUACUGUAGAAUUAUUUAAAGAUUCUAGUUGCCUUUUUCUUUUUUUCUUUUUAUAAAAAAUUAUAUAGGUUUCCUGUACAAUAUUAGCCUGCUGGUUUAUUGGAGUUUGCUUCUAAUUGUAGCUUGUUAUUUUUUUGUCAUCUUUACAGCAGAUGGUUCCUCAUACCAAUGUUGUGUCUGAGGAUGACUACAUUUUUUUGUUGCCCUUCCUAGUAAUUUGGUGCAAUAAAUAUAUUCUUGUUAUUCUAUUGCUUUGUGCUUUGGGGAGAAAUUUCUUGAAAGGUGUGAUCAUAUGCUGUUGUGGGAUUAUUUUAGUGAAAACCCUACAUUAUCUGAGGAAAGAAUUCUAAUGAAAUUAUGUGAAGCUUAUACUACAGAAAAACUGUUGCUGUGCUAGUACAAGGAUUGCCUUAUUAUCAGAAGUCGAAAUUAGUUUGCAGUCUUGGUUAAUUUUUCAAGGACUGGAACCAAUAUUGUUUGGCAUUAUUGUUACUGUGGGAGGUUUGAAAACUUGCUUUAACUUUCGAGAAGUAACAUUAACUCCAGAUUUUUGGAACUUAACCAUAAUAAUGAAGCGUGUACUAAAAUUUAAAGAUCAAAAAAUGUAAUAAAAGAAAUGAAAGAAAUGCACAAUUUUUGUUAUUGCUGUCCGCACUCCCCAGAGAAUUAAAUCUCUUACUCUUAGUCUGACUCUAUUGGGAAAAUCUAUUUUAUUUCUAUUCUGUUACCAACCUAGCAUGGUGAUGUCAGAGAUCUAUUUCGUCCCAAGAGAGAGUUUGUUUGGGAAAGUUAUAAGUGCAAUUUUCUUGCAUGUUAGUAGUUACGUCUGUGAGACUGAUAGUGUAGAAUUCUUCAAAGAUUCUACUUGCCUUUUCUUGUUGCUUUGUGUUUUUUUCUUGAACUUAUAUAGGUUAGCUUGUACAGUAUUGGCAUGUGUUUUUUUCCCAAAAAACAAGUUCUAUGCAUAUAUAUUUAUGUUUGCAGUGGAAUUAGCUUUAAAUUUAUAUGACCAUGUAUAUCAUGCCUUGUUAUUUAUUUUGUAUGAUGUCCCAUAUUCCUCAUUUUUGGAACUUCUUGUGUUCCAUUUUACAAUUACUGUUUGAGGUAUUUUUGUCCCAACAAUGUAUUUAAUUUAUUCAUCUUCAUGUAUUUCUGCCCUAAACAUUUCAUUAUAUUUACUGGUUCACUUUCAUGUGUCAGUUCCUCUAGGUUUAUCAUCCAUCUGGUUGUUUGAGGGUUUGUCAUCUAUCAAGCAAAUAGGUCAUUGAAUACCAACUUUGUGUGGGAAGACGACUAUAUCAACAUUGCCAUGUAUACGAACAAGGCUAGCUUCAUGGAAUUAAACUAGCUAGCUUUCAUGUAAUAAGUCUGUUUUGGCAACAUGCUCACUGGUUUAUCCAAUUCUCCGCUUUCUUAAAACAUGUCCUAUUUCUCGUAGAUUUUUACUCUGCAUUUUUUUCAUCUUGUUUUUUCCAUAUUCCUACCAUGGGUUAGUUGUCUCAGUUGGAUCUAAGUCCAAAUCCUAUCACAGAAACUACAUGAUGGACUAGUUGAGAAUGCUAACUGUUAGUCAACCUGCAACUUAAAGUGGCUGAAAAAUCAGAGACAUGUUUUGGAAUCUCUUAUUGAUGCAUCAAGUGGUUAAAAAAUGAUAUGCUUAUAAUUUGAAACGUGGUAACAUGAUGUGGUUUGAUGUAAUUAACUGAACAUCAUAAUAAAUUUUUUUUCUAUCUUGAUCAUGCAAUCUCUGUUGACUCUGAU